GGCUUGUACAGUGGGAUGUUGUCUGCAGUGUGGAGAUGGUCAGCAGCUCAUGCUAUGGUGCUGGAGGAACCCAGCCUGGGCCACACUCUCCACACGCUGGAGACUCAGAAAAGCCAUUGAUGGGGCCUUGCCUUGUGCUACAAAGCAUCUUCAAUCAAUUGUUUUGAAAGGCCUUGCCGUUUGCCAAAUGGCUGAGGACAGUGCUUGCGAUUCCGUUAUUGCUUUCUCCUUAUACAAAGACUCUCUUCGGUGACGGGUAUUCUUGGGUGGAUAAUACGGAUCACGUUGUUAUUGCUUAAGAAUACGCGUAGUCGAGGAGAGUCAUGUCGGCGGUGACGGCAGGGGACUAGAGAGAGCGCACAUCCCAGAGAGCCCACCUGCCUGCCCUGCUGCGUUUAGAGCAGGGGCUCACACCCGCGCACGUUCACGCUCGCACCGAGACUCACACUCAGGGCCAUUUAUCAAGCACGCAGACAGAGCUGCAUCUCCUGUGUCUGUGGGUGAUGACUGUGCUGUUGAGUCUCUGUAGAUGGGGCUGGCCACUCCUGUUCACCACGUAGCCUUUUACUGGAUUUCUCCCAAAAUGAAACGAAAAAAGAAGAGGAAUGUUUGGAUGGUGUGUAAUGUCGUUAUAAUUGAUUUUUAUUCAUCAUCUGCUUAUGCAUUCCAGUUGCACUGCUUUUAGUACAUAAUGUGAGCUUUGGUGCCUUACUGUUAUGUAUGUGAACCAGAUUUAUUUAUUUAUUUAUUUAUUUAUUAAUUAAUGAUCAGCUUGGGAGCUUUGGUAAAGGGAGCUGUACAUUCUGGGCGGCUGCAGAUGCAAAUGCAUGUAGUCUACAAUAUUUAUUAUCUGUCCUCAGGACCACACACUCUUCACCUCCCACUCCACCUUUUUUCAUGCAAAUUGAUUUUGAAAUGACAUUUAUCGUGUGGGGUUUCCGCACGGAAGCCUGCCGCGCUACACGGGCUGAGAAAAGAAAAAAAAAAAUACAAAACAAAAUGUCCACCAAGCCAGCGACAGCUCAAUUUAUGCGCUGGAGAGGAAGACUGAUUCUAAAAGAACACACAGCAGAUAAACAAUUACCACAGGCUUAGAUUGACUAGAGCUCUGCUUGCCAUGUAGCCACGCACACAUCAUGAAUAUGUAUCAGUCACCGCAUAUGAUGGUGCAUUCUAAACUCUAACACCCAUGAAAAUCCAUUUAAGCAGCGUAAUAGGAUCUACUUGACUUAUGAAAGCAUACCCUUAGACACGUCAAAUCUUAUAAAUAUACAUGAGAUCUUCUUUUUGGCAGGAAUGUAUUUUCCUUCAUUUUCAAAAUGCUUGAGAAAAACAAGCAUAUAUCAUUCAGCAGGGGGAAAAAUAAAAAAAAUAUGUUGAUGUAUUAACAGGGAGGUUUUCUAAAUCUGCAAACAGUCCAAUUUACUCUUGAUUAUCAUUAAGCACAUUGAAAUGACACAUUAGCAUUUCAGACAGACUAAAGAAAACAAUUCAGUGGCUCUCCUCUUGAUCACCCUGUAAUUAUCCUUCUUUUGGCUGUGCUUUAAUGAACAGAGAAGCCAGGAAGACCAUGUUAUGCACCUUUACCACUAGGGGACCCACACAACUGAAAAAUAAUAUGUCAUGUUUCCUGUGUUUUUUCUUCUAUGGCAUAAUUAUAGCUUUGUUUUAAUGGAACAUAUUAAUUGUGGAAGUCUGUAUGUAAUUGAACCAGAGAUAUAGUUUUGCUUUUGCUGCUUUAAAAAGAAUUUAAUCUGAUCAGCAAAACCUUUCCACUAUGCCACAUCAUGUGCUUUUCCACUACAUUCAAAACAUACAGAGGGCAUUGGUAGUUUACAGUUGCACUGUACAUAAUAAUAAAAAACAAUAGCCAUAGUUUAAUCUAAUAUAGCUCUUUUAAAAGUCUUACAUUAAAAAUAACAUAUUCUCUGAUAACUAAUGCUAGGAAAGAAAUCUCUUCAAAUUUCAAAUCACCCUUAUCAA